rnacentral:rRNA from 1 species
UACGUAGGGUGCAAGCGUUGUCCGGAAUUAUUGGGCGUAAAGAGCGUGUAGGCGGCCCGAUUAGUCCGCUGUGAAAGUCCAGGGCUCAACCCUGGAAUGCCGGUGGAUACUGUCGGGCUAGAGUCCGGAAGGGGCGAGUGGAAUUCCUGGUGUAGCGGUGAAAUGCACAGAUAUCAGGAGGAACACCAAUGGCGAAGGCAGCUCGCUGGGACGUGACUGACGCUGAGACGCGAAAGCGUGGGGAGCAAACAGG